UCUCCCAUCACCGGUCCUUCUCCCAGUCUCCCCCCUCGCCCCAGCACUUACAAUGUUAGUCACUCCGACAUUAUUGACCCUGGUGCCGACAAAAGAGAUGUGCAGCAAAAGUUGGGUGUCUCCGAGGCCAGCAGAAAGACCUUACUGAUCAACGAGGACAAAUGGAAUCCAUGCAGCGCUCCAUAGCCCAAGUAGAAUUUGUGAAAGUGUGUCCAACCUCAGGCUGUGGAGUAACGCAACGUGAGCUCCGCAGAACGCGUGUGGGACCAAACGCCGUUGUGGCCGUCUCUCAGACAGGCCAUGGAAGAGAUGAAACGUGACAUGCAAACUUACAACAAAGGGCUGUUCCAAGCAUUCACAAAUCAGUUCCUCGAUCAAGUCGAGCAAUGAACAAGUUGAGGAAGGAAGUUUUGACGCAGAGGUUGAAGGAAGAAAAGAGGCAGAGUGACUAAGUCACAGCCAGAAAGUGUGGAUGACAGUUUUGAUUUCUAUUCACUGUUGCCCCCUCCCAAUUAAAGUAUGUCACAGUCGCAACCAAUUAUUAUCUAAAGCUGGUUAAAAUUGAAGUUAUGUUGUUUUAAGGUGUAUUAAAUACUUGUUCAUGUGCCCCUUUUGAUCUACGAGCACCCGCCCCUCCACCGGUCUCUGCACGGCCCUGCUGAAACACAGUGUGGGUCGACAGAGCUCAAUAUUUUGUUGGGGUGUACAGUGUACUGGAACAUAUUUCCUCCACACCCUUCUCACCUUUUUAACCCCUGACCCAUUUUCAUGCCUGUAUAUUAUGUCAAUACUAUAAUACUACAGAAUUCAGAUUCUACACUAAGAAUAGCUUUAAAAUGACACCCUUUUUGAAAAAUAUGAUUGGCAAUGAACAUUAUAAUUCUCAUGCUAUUUUAUAUACGUAGUAGUUUACUAUAAUAAUAAUGCUAGAUAUAUUUUUUAAAUUGUCUUGAAUAAAGUUGGAAAGGCGAAGUCAGUGUUGUGAAUCUGAUUACAUUGUAUUCUUUUGCACUAGUAAAUGCUAUCAACAUUUGACCUUGUUGUUUAUGUGUGAUUAAUUAUUGUUAUUUACAUGUUUAUUUGUACUUUAAUAAAGAAUUUAAGUGAUUUUGUGAAUUAAUAAGCGUCAACAAAAAUUUCAUUACAUUAGUAAAAACUCGACUAAUCGUAAAAAUAGUCGGCUGACUAAAGGAGAGAAAAAAUUAGUCGUUUGGGACAGCCCUACCGGAACAUAUUACCUCCACACCCUUCUCACCUUUUUAACCCCUGACCCAUUUUCAUGCCUGUAUAUUAUGUCAAUACUAUAAUACUACAGAAUUCAGAUUCUACACUAAGAAUAGCUUUAAAAUGACACCCUUUUUGAAAAAUAUGAUUGGCAAUGAACAUUAUAAUUCUCAUGCUAUUUUAUAUACGUAGUAGUUUACUAUAAUAAUAAUGCUAGAUAUAUUUUUUAAAUUGUCUUGAAUAAAGUUGGAAAGGCGAAGUCAGUGUUGUGAAUCUGAUUACAUUGUAUUCUUUUGCACUAGUAAAUGCUAUCAACAUUUGACCUUGUUGUUUAUGUGUGAUUAAUUAUUGUUAUUUACAUGUUUAUUUGUACUUUAAUAAAGAAUUUAAGUGAUUUUGUGAAUUAAUAAGCGUCAACAAAAAUUUCAUUACAUUAGUAAAAACUCGACUAAUCGUAAAAAUAGUCGGCUGACUAAAGGAGAGAAAAAAUUAGUCGUUUGGGACAGCCCUACCGGAACAUAUUACCUCCACACCCUUCUCACCUUUUUAACCCCUGACCCAUUUUCAUGCCUGGUUGUAUCUUAAGAAGGUUCUUAGAGUUUCAAAAUGCAAAAAGAAGAAAUAGGAACAAGAGACCAAAUGUUUAGAGGAGGCACUUUAUUGAAAAGAACAAUUUAACUGAAAUAGGCUGUUCAACAGCUGAUCAAAAGUUUAA